rfam:Felis catus breed Abyssinian Contig167526.1, whole genome shotgun sequence. [26-MAY-2016]
GCCUGGAUGGCUCAGUUAGUUGAGUAUCUGACUUAGGCUCAGGUCAUGAUCUCAUAGUUUGUAGGUUCAAGCCCACAUCGGGCU